AAACUUUCACAUAUUUUAAUAAUUAGUUGAAAAAAUUAUAAAAGCUAAUAUAAGUUAUAUACAAACAUACUUAACUCAUAAAAAUGUUAAACAAAAUUUCGAAGCAAUUAUAAUAGCAAAAUAUGUAUAUUAAGGUGUGAAAAAAAGAACCAACCUACGGGAUCGAGGUAUAUCCCGGUGAACCAAAUUAUUAAGCCUUUGAAUUCUCUCCCUUCUUAUGUGCUUG
rnacentral:lncRNA from 1 species